CCCUCUCUUCCUCCUCCUCGUGUUUCCUCCCCUUUGCUUCGCGCAGAGCGCAGCCCCGCUCUGCAGCCCCGCACCCCGUCCAGCUUUGUCUGCCCGCUCCUCGGCUCCUGUUUGAGCCACGAACACCGCAUGGAGACGUUAACCCAAACAAACGAUCCUUCCAAAACACAAAGACAACUCCGUUAAUUAAUUACCGGUGUCUUUAUGACAAACCUCAUCUCUCAGCCAUUCAGUCCUUGGCAGCAAAUUCUUGAAAAUCUCUAAUUUUCACUGUUGGCAUCCAUCCAGCUCAGCACGGCCUCUUUUCCGAUCAGCUCUGAGUUUGUUUGGUUUUUUUUCAGAGAUCCUCUCCCAAGAGUUUGCCAAUUCGUUCCCAUCGUAGAGAGGCAGAGCUGGGAGCAGAGCCUGGGCUGGAAUCAGCGAUUCACCUGGACGUCCAAAUGCAAAGCUGACCUCCGAGCCAAGCAGGGAUGGGGAGAGAGAAACAUCACCAGUAUUGUGACGAUUUCGCAUUCUGCAGCCUCCACCAGGUGGGGCCUGGGCUGACUCCUCUGCGCUGCCGGGAGGCGGACGGAGCUGCAAAGCCGCGACGUUUCCGAUAGUAAACACAUCCACAGCGCGCUCCUUCGCGUGCCUUCCUGCCUCCUCUUUGUGUUUGGUCUCGGUUUCCCGGGAGCGAGGAAUGCAGCGUGUCUGACAGACGCCAACCCCGCACAACGGAGCAGAAAGCGGCUUCCUCCGGCCCUGAGCAGCAGAUCAGCUGGCGCUGCGAUUGCAGGACGUUGAAGCGGCGAAGCGAGGAGGAAGGAGAUCGAUGGGCGGCGAGAGACCCGGAGCGGCGUUUCGGCCUGCAGCGAUGGAUGCG